rnacentral:rRNA from 1 species
UACAGAGGGGGCAAGCGUUGUUCGGAAUUACUGGGCGUAAAGGGCGCGUAGGCGGCCUGCUAAGUCGAACGUGAAAUCCCCGGGCUCAACCCGGGAACUGCGUCCGAUACUGGCAGGCUUGAAUCCGGGAGAGGGAUGUGGAAUUCCAGGUGUAGCGGUGAAAUGCGUAGAUAUCUGGAGGAACACCGGUGGCGAAGGCGGCAUCCUGGACCAACACUGACGCUGAGGAGCGAAAGCCAGGGGAGCAAACGGG